UAAUGGGAUUAAUCAACCCAGAAUGUGUCCGCCAUAGUUGUUGCACUUAGUCUGACUAUUAUUUUUCCCACAUGACAACUUAAGAUCAAUGUUCUUCACUGUUGCUCUGACACAUCAUUAAUACCACAAUGUUUUAGCACUAGUCUAAUAACCUAUAAUCUUCACCACGCUGAGAGGACGUCAUUAAUAUUACAUGUAACAUAAUACAACUAAACCGACAUCCAGUGAUAUGACAGCAAAUAUACACUGACCGUAUAUUUAUAUCAUAUUUUAUAUAAAAUGACAUGCAGUAAUGCUCCUGUCGAUGGAUUCACAUAUCAUUCUAAAAAUUAUCGUUAUUAUCAUCAGACACGUUUGUACACACAGUUUACUUCCUACAUCCCAGAGAAGCGAUAUAAUAAUAUUAUAUUAUAUAUAUAUAUAUACAAGACACUCUCACCCACAUAUAUUAUGUGUACGCAUAUAUAUUAUCUAGCUUUUUCGAAUAUCACGACACCCGUGACAUGGCGGGAUACCGUGAACGCGUGAUUGGUCGUAAUUUUUUAUCACUGCAGAGUUUAGCGUGUUUUGAAAACUAAAAUUAUUUAUACACUUAAUAAUUUAUCUCUCAGAUGCAAGACACUAAAAUUAAAAAUCUUGCAUUUAUAUAUCACAGACAAUCACUGAAACUAGAAUUGGAUUUUCUUCGCUCAUGCUCACUAUUAAUAAAGCUCUUGUUAAUGAAGCGGCUAUGGAAGCAGCCUGGCUCUCACUGGUUAAACGUCAGUUAAAUCUGGCCAAAGGGUGACGGCGUAUCUUCGCGCAGG